rnacentral:rRNA from 1 species
UACGAAGGGGGCGAGCGUUGUUCGGAUUUACUGGGCGUAAAGGGCGCGUAGGCGGUCCUGUUUGUCGAGUGUGAAAGCCCCGGGCUCAACCUGGGAACUGCGCUCGAAACGGCGGGACUGGAGAUCGGGAGAGGAGCGUGGAAUUCCGAGUGUAGAGGUGAAAUUCGUAGAUAUUGGGAAGAACACCGGUGGCGAAGGCGGCGCUCUGGACCGACACUGACGCUGAGGCGCGAAAGCGUGGGGAGCAAACAGG